UGGUGGAUAGAAAGAGUCGUGGGAAGGAGGAGGGUGAUACGAAGGGGGUUCAUCUACAUGGGUAUCUAGCACGUGGCUAACUCCAUUUUGGAUUCCGGGCAUGUGGAGCAACAAAGCGGUGCAGAGGCAGGCUUUUUUUCUCUCAGCUUGCCACCUCCCCACACACACUGGGAUAAGAUAAGCUGUUCCACGGCCGUCGCUGCCCACGCCUCAUGGCUGCCCUGCGAAACAUGUUACAGCCGGCUCUGCGCGAAGCCUGCGGCACGGAGCCUGCGGCUCGGUCCCCGGGCCACACAGGGAAGGGCUUCCACUCCGCGGCCACUGAUCACGCGGUCCAGGGUGGAACACGUCACUGCCGCUGGCUCAGGCGCACACCCAGCUGAUUCGUGCAUGCUGCUGCGCGGGCCGUGCCCGGGACCUGCUCUGCCCUGCUUUCGCGUUGCCUGCCACGCCGGCUUGUCUGACUCAUUACUCUUACGUUGCCAAGCAGUAAAAUCUUCUUUGUGAAUUGACUUUCUCUGGGCUUGAGAAAACUACCAAUCCAUUCCUUGUAAACUAUAUUUGUUUAGCUUUUCCAGGUAGUUGACAUGCCCAGGCUUGCGAAACACACAUGUGUGUUUCCAGACGGUUUUUGGGGGUCUAGCCCAACCAGGGACGCCACCUGCUUUAAUUUCUAAAGUCCCCUGCCUCUCUGUUACCACUGUCUGCCCAGCAGCAGCCAGGGAGACAGGGGAGAUGGUUUAGCUUAUCAAAGAGGAACCUAAAAACAAGACUCUCCCUUUGCUGAGAUGGCAGUUACAGCUUUAUUUCUUGGGAUCCUACGGAGUGAGGUAGCAGGAGGGAAAGAGGAAGAGGUAUUGAUAAGCACCCCUUUUUUAAGGCAGGGGGAAAGGGGUGGGGGGCAUUCACACAGCCAAUAAGGGGAACUGGGGAGAAAAAGAUAAGGGAAAGAAACUUACAAUUCUACAUUUUUGGGGGUACAUUCUUUUGGGUCAUACCAUUUUUCCUAACUGCAUGACAACAUUUGUGCUUUAAUAUCAUGUUAUAGCCUAACAUAUAUAUGUAUUAUAUCACUAUUUUUAAGUUUAAUCAACAACAGAAAUGAAAGAAACUAUAUUAAAACAACAAAGUUUUCUAACCUUAUACAUAUAACAUUCAUGAUAAUAUUUGUGAACAGCCAAUAAUAUAAUAUGCACUUAUUCACACCUUCGAUUUGGAGUGGUUGUUGAAGUCACCUGUUUGAGCUCCAAGAUGGUGUUAGGAAAAUUAAUCUUUUCCCAUAAGUCACCAGGCUUCUCUAAGGGCAAUCCCAUAUCUCUUUGAGGUUUUGGUAAGAACUGUGCAUGUGGAUGCUUAAUGAAAUGACUAAGAAAAACUACCUAAUAAUAUGCAGAGGUACUUGAACAGUGUUGCCCUCAAAGGUGCUCACAGCUGCUGUGCCUUGCUGAUUCUUUAUUAUAUUUUAGCUUUCUUUUAAAUAAAAGGUCUCUCAGAUUGAGAGGAAUGUGAAUUUAAAUGGGGUGAAAGGAGAGGUGAUAUGGGCAUGGUUGAUGCUGUUAAUCUUUGAACUAAAAUGUACAUGUCCAACCUCAGAUGCAUGGGCAUGUACACAUGUACAGGAUGGUUGUGUACAACAGCUCUCAGUAUGUAGGGACAUUGGGAAGAGUAGGUUCUUCGUUAAAAGCAUUACAUUUAUUUAUUCUUCCAGAUUAUCAAGUAGCUUUCUGAAAACUUGUGAUGUCUCAGGCUUGCUACACAAAAUACUCAACAUAAAAAUAUGUUUCCCAGUAAAUUGCAUUUAGAAAUCUGCCAUGAAGUUCAAUUGUAAGCCUUUCAAUCUGUGCUACUGUGUUAAUUUUUAAUCCAGAAUGUUGUAUAACACUAAAUCAUGUAUUUGUAUAAUGAACAGUCAUUAUAGUUGACAAAUGUCCUCUUGUUAAAAAAUAAAAGUCUGAUUGUUGUAUUAAGGGAAACAAACCCAAGAAUUACAACUUCAUUUUUUCUUGAGGUAGUUCCAGUUGAAAUGAAGCUUUGUGCAUUAUUAUAGGUGAAAGUAAAUGUGACAUAUUGAUGAAAAUUUAACUUUUUUAAAAUUCAGGAGUGAUGACAGUAAACGCCUUCUCUGAA